CGGUGGGUGGUAGCCGGUGAUCGGAAUCCGGCGGCCGGUGACCGGAUUCCGGCGAAGUUGGCCGGAAUCCGGCGGCCGGUGACCGGAAUCCGGCUGCCGGUGACCGGACUCCGGCGAAGUCCCCUAUGGUUUCUCUCUCUUCCAUUCUCUCUCUCUCUCUCUAAGUAACAAAGGUGAGGGUAAAAUGGUAUUAAAAAAAUAAUAAAAACAAAAAAAAAAUCUUAAUGGGGUAUUAGGGAAGACCUCCUUAGAGUGUUUGGGGUAAGGGGGAAUUA
rnacentral:lncRNA from 1 species